rnacentral:rRNA from 1 species
GUUGGCUUGGAAGCAGCCAUUCAUUUAAAGAGUGCGUAACAGCUCACUGGUCGAGAGAUCCUGCACGGAAAAUAAUCGGGCAUCAAACUACGAACCGAAGUUCUAAAUUCUAGCUAUGCUAGAGUGGUAGGGGAGCAUUGAAAUCUGCACAGAAGGUGUGGCGCGAGCCAUGCUGGAGCGAUUUCAAAAGAAAAUGUAGGCAUAAGUAACGAUAAUUAAAGUGAAAAACUUUAACGCGAAAAGUCUAAGGUUUCCUGAUCAACGUUAAUCGGAUCAGGGUUAGUCUGGUCCUUAGGAAAACCCGAAAGGGGUAUCUGAUGGAAAGAAGGUUAAUAUUCCUUCACCUACUAUGCAUUAAAAGUGACGCAGGGACGUGGUGGUUGCGUACGGACGGAAGUGUACGCCUGAGUGGAGUCUUCGGACAAAGCGAAACCAUAAAAUCCCUGCCAAGAAAAGCGAGCAUAGCAGCCAGUACCGGAAUCCGACACAGGUAGACGGGAUGAGUAUUCUAAGGCGCUCGGGUGAGCCGUGGAGAAGGAACUAGGCAAAUUAACGCUGUAACUUCGGGAUAAAGCGUACCAUCUUCGGACGGUCUCAGUAAAAUGGUUCAACCAACUGUUUAGCAAAAACACAGGGCCCUGCAAAAUCGAAAGAUGACGUAUAGAGCCUGAUACCUGCCCGGUGCUGGAAGGUUAAGGAAGGGUGUUCGGCGCAAGCCAAAGCUUCUGACUGAAGCCCCAGUAAACGGCGGCCGUAACUAUAACGGUCCUAAGGUAGCGAAAUUCCUUGUCGGGUAAGUUCCGACCUGCACGAAUGGUCUAAUGAGUUGAACACUGUCUCCUCCACGAGCCCGGUGAAAUUGUAGUAUCGGUGAAGAUGCCGGUUACCCGCCACGGGACGGAAAGACCCCGUGAACCUUCACUACAACUUUGCAUUGAUUUUGAGCAACAAAUGUGUAGGAUAGUUGGGAGACUUUGAAGCAGUGUCGCCAGGCAUUGUGGAGUCAUCGUUGAAAUACCAACCUUUUGUUGCUUAGAACCUAACCCUGAACAAGGGGACAUUGCAUGGUGGGUAGUUUGACUGGGGUGGUCGCCUCCUAAAAAGUAACGGAGGCUCGCAAAGGUACCCUCAGUACGGUUGGUAAUCGUACGCAGAGCGCAUUAGUAGAAGGGUGCUUGACUGUGAGACAAACACGUCGAGCAGGAGCGAAAGCUGGCUAAAGUGAUCCGGUGGUUCUGUAUGGAAGGGCCA